AGCCACUCUGUCAUCUACCCAACUGAUCUCUUUCUCUAGCUGUAAAUCCUGAGGUAGAAAUUGGCCUAUGCUCACCCUAUUCCUCAAAUAUGGAGCACGAGUUGGUUUCACGACAUCUUCUGACAAAGGAACCCCACAGCUAAGUGGCCAGUGAUGCUGAUGAUUUAUUCAGAGUGUGACGGACAGGAUUUCGGUGCCUCUGAAACCACUUCUACUCCCCCUUCUGUCUCUGCUUCCACCGCCCCACCACCCACCCCAAGGACUUGCCUCAGGACAGAAGAAAACAAACUCCAUUUGGAUGGAUGGCUAUAAAAAAUAAGCAAGACUGAGAGCUCAUGUAUCUGGCAAAGAGGAUCCGUAUCUCCAGCCUGAAAAAGGCCAGCAGUAAAGGACCAAGGCAGCCGGCCAGCAGUUAAGGGCCAAGAUCUGCAUCUCUUUGCUUUGAGGCUUUUUCCAAAGUCACAGAAGGCUUAUCUGCCCAGCUUGAGAAGAAGCAGGACAUUAGACGCCACCCCCAAGCAGCCUACAACCAAUGACUAAUGGAAGUUGGUGUAAAAAUACCCUAGCUUCCACUCCACUCAGGAGGGGUAACUAUGAAACAUCUUCCCAAGAAACCACUUACACUUGAAUUCCUGGUACAAAGUCUAUUUCGGGGGUAAAUCCAACCAUGAAAGAAGAUGAUAAAUGCUAUGUUAAAAAAUAAAUAGGAAGAGAGGAUGGAGAGGGCCAUGGGAGGUAAUUUUA